GUUAAGCUGAGGGUGGGAGGCGCUAGGUAGUUAAGCUUGCUUGCAGCUAGCCCAUUGAUCAGUAUGGACUGGGACUGCCACAACAGACACUGCUCACAGACAGACUUACCAACAGACAGACUGACCAACAGACAGAGGACAGCACCUAUACUCCGUAGGCUACUGCAGAGAGAGAGAGCAAAAAAGAGUGAGAUUGCCACAACAGGUUUCCAUAGACUGCUGUAGCGAGAGAGUGAGAGAAAAUGAGAGGGAGAUGAGAAAAUAGAGAGAAUUGAAGAUCAGAUAAUGAAAGAAGGGUGACCAGUGAAUGGAGAGAAGAGAUAGAAGAUAAAUAAUAACAGAAAAAAUAUGCAAAACAAGACUAAGAGAAAAAAACGAUAUUAGAGAGAGAGAGAGAGAGAGAGCGAGAGAGAGAGAGAGAGAGCGAGAGAGAGAGAGAGAGAGAGAGAGAGGAGCCAGAGCACGUUGUUCGCAGUGUUCUGAGCAGACACUGUCAGAGGAAAGAAAGGUGACAAGGAAAAGAGCUGCCACUGAGAGAAAGAAGAGAAGCGGGAGAGUGAGUGUGUGAAUUGUGAAGCUGGACUGGAAGAGAUGCCAGGAGCCCUGGGUCUGGGAAUCACACACACAUCAAACACAGUAUGAAGCUGCCUAGACGUGAUGACAGCGCUGCUAUACAGACUGGCCUUGCAGAAAAACUCCCCUCUUUGCCCAGUCAGGAUUACUUACUGCAAGGGUCUUAACCAGCAGUACUCCAUCUCAGAGGCUAAAAACAGACACGGAGAAACCCUUAACAAGGCCUUAUUAGAUUACUAGUGAUCCUCAGCUGGAUGUGUUUAAAUGAGUCACAAGCUCCCAGGUAUUCAGUGACAAGAGACGGCGGUCUUUGCUUGGACUGUGCCAAGCAAGGUUGGCCAUUUUUGGGUCCUUGUGGACGGAUGGGCAGACGUG
rnacentral:lncRNA from 1 species